GUGCUCACUUCAGCAGCACAUAUACUAAAAUUGGAAGGAUACAGAGAUUAGCAUGGCCUCUGUGCAAGGAUGAAAUGUCCUCUCAAUCAUCAUCAUUUAU
rnacentral:snRNA from 1 species